rnacentral:rRNA from 1 species
GACGAACGCUGGCGGCGUGCUUAACACAUGCAAGUCGAACGGAAAGGCCCUGCUUUUGUGGGUUGCUCGAGUGGCGAACGGGUGAGUAACACGUGAGUAACCUUCCCUUUACUUUGGGAUUACUUCAGGAAACUCGGGUUCAUACCGGAUAUGAUCUCCUGCUGCAUGGUGUGGGUUGGAAAGUUUCGGCGGUUGUGGAUGGACUCGCGGCUUAUCAGCUUGUUGGUGGGGUAGUGGCUUACCAAGGCUUUGACGGGUAGCCGGCCUGAGAGGGUGACCGGCCACAUUGGGACUGAGAUACGGCCCAGACUCCUACGGGAGGCAGCAGUGGGGAAUAUUGCACAAUGGGCGGAAGCCUGAUGCAGCAACGCCGCGUGCGGGAUGACGGCCUUCGGGUUGUAAACCGCUUUCGCCAGGGACGAAGCGUGUGUGACGGUAAUGGGUAGAGAAGCACCGGCUAAAUAAGUGC